rnacentral:rRNA from 1 species
CAAGUCGCGCGGUCAGCAAUGGCAGCGGCGGACGGGUGCGUAACGCGUAGGAACGUGUCUUGAGGUGGGGGACAACCCUGGGAAACUGGGGCUAAUACCGCAUAUGGGCUGAGGCCCAAAGCCGUAAGGCGCCUUUGGAGCGGCCUGCGUCCGAUUAGCUAGUUGGUGGGGUAAAGGCCUACCAAGGCUCCGAUCGGUAGCUGGUCUGAGAGGACGAUCAGCCACACUGGGACUGAGACACGGCCCAGACUCCUACGGGAGGCAGCAGUGGGGAAUAUUGGACAAUGGGCGCAAGCCUGAUCCAGCAAUGCCGCGUGGGUGAAGAAGGUCUUCGGAUCGUAAAGCCCUUUCGACAGGGACGAUGAUGACGGUACCUGUAGAAGAAGCCCCGGCUAACUUCGUGCCAGCAGCCGCGGUAAUACGAAGGGGGCUAGCGUUGCUCGGAAUUACUGGGCGUAAAGGGCGCGUAGGCGGCUUAGUCAGUCAGGCGUGAAAUUCCUGGGCUUAACCUGGGGGCUGCGUUUGAGACGGCUAUGCUAGAGGGUAGGAGAGGGUCGUGGAAUUCCCAGUGUAGAGGUGAAAUUCGUAGAUAUUGGGAAGAACACCGGUGGCGAAGGCGGCGACCUGGCCUAUUACUGACGCUGAGGCGCGACAGCGUGGGGAGCAAACAGGAUUAGAUACCCUGUUAGUCCACGCCGUACACGAUGUGCGCUGGAUGUUGGGGCCCAUAGGGUCUCAGUGUCGUAGCUAACGCGGUAAGCGCACCGCCUGGGGAGUACGGCCGCAAGGGUUGAAACUCAAAGGAAUUGACGG